rnacentral:rRNA from 1 species
GGGUUGUGAGGUUAAGUGACUAAGCGUACACGGUGGAUGCCUAGGCAGUCAGAGGCGAUGAAGGGCGUGCUAAUCUGCGAUAAGCGUCGGUAAGGUGAUAUGAACCGUU